GAAUUUUGGACAAUGGGCGAAAGCCUGAUCCAGCAAUGCCGCGUGCCGGAUGAAGGCCUUCGGGUUGUAAACUGCUUUUGUACGGAACGAAAAGCUUUGGGUUAAUACCCUGGUGUCAUGUCGGUACCGUAAGAAUAAGCACCGGACUACUACGUGCCAGCAGCCGCGGUCAGAAGUAGGGUGCAAGCGUUAAUCGGAAUUGCUGGGCGUAAAGCGUGCGCAGGCGGGUUUGUAAGACAGAGGUGAAAUCCCCGGGCUAAACCUGGGAACUGCCUGUGUGACUGCAAGGCGAGAGUACGGCAGAGGGGGGUGGAAUUCCGCGUGUAGCAGUGAAAUGCGUAGAUAUGCGGAGGAACACCGAUGGCGAAGGCAACCCCCUGGGCCUGUACUGACGCUCAUGCACGAAAGCGUGGGGAGCAAAC
rnacentral:rRNA from 1 species